GACGAACGCUGGCGGCGUGCUUAACACAUGCAAGUCGAGCGGUAAGGCCCUUUCGGGGGUACACGAGCGGCGAACGGGUGAGUAACACGUGGGUGACCUGCCCUCAGCUCUGGGAUAAGCCUGGGAAACCGGGUCUAAUACUGGAUAUGACUCCAUGACGCAUGUUGUGGGGUGGAAAGCCUUGUGCGGCUGAGGAUGGGCCCGCGGCCUAUCAGCUUGUUGGUGGGGUGAGGCCUACCAAGGCGACGACGGGUAGCCGGCCUGAGAGGGCGACCGGCCACACUGGGACUGAGACACGGCCCAGACUCCUACGGGAGGCAGCAGUGGGGAAUCUUGCGCAGUGGGCGAAAGCCUGACGCAGCGACGCCGCGUGAGAGAUGACGGCCUGGUG
rnacentral:rRNA from 1 species